UACAGAGGUGGCAAGCGUUGUUCGGAAUUACUGGGCGUAAAGGGCGCGUAGGCGGCCUUCUCAGUCAGACGUGAAAUCCCCAGGCUUAACUUGGGAACUGCGUCUGAUACUGGAAGGCUUGAGUGCGGGAGAGGGAUGUGGAAUUCCAGGUGUAGGCGGUGAAAUGCGUAGAUAUCUGGAGGAACACCGGUGGCGAAGGCGGCAUCCUGGACCGACACUGACGCUGAGGCGCGAAAGCUAGGGGAGCAA
rnacentral:rRNA from 1 species